rnacentral:lncRNA from 1 species
GUGACCUCCUUCUCUGACAGCCAACUUUUUAAACAAGCAUCUUAAUAUUUCAGCAGAUGGUGCUAAGGUUUGCUGAAACAGCCUACAGUAUUCCCAGUUUGUUCCCACAUUUCUGGAUUCUUUGUAAUUAGCUCGCAACAUGCGUGAAAGUGAGCUCAGAUGUAACCUAAACCCAUGGAACUUGGAAAAAGAAGCAUCUGCCGAGAGGAGCGGGGUUGAUCUUGAUUUGCUUUCAGGGAGUUGCCACGGAGCAUCGUCUGCAGAGACCUGCAUUAUGUGAAGCAGCAUCUUCUUUCCCCUUGAUGUUGAAACUGGAUGAAGGAUCUUGUCAGGCUCACAGGUAACGCUACACAGGGUUUUGGGACCAAAAGCACUAAGAAUUUUCCUUUUUCUCCAAGUAUAUGACUCAGAAGAAAAUCAAGAAAGAUAUUUUUCCCUUGUGACUUCUUCUGUGCUCCACCUUUGUUUCUGCUUCUAACAGCAACUAUUCUUUUAGCAGGAACUUUGCUCAGUAAUGAUUGUUAGGUACCUAUUAAGGACUUACUAUGUUGUGACUCAGGCACUAUUAAAUGACUUAUAUGCAUUUUUCAUUCAAUCCUCACAAUAACAGCACCAGUAACUACGUUAUUAUUUUGUUUUAUAGAUGAGGACUCUGAGAUUAUCCAGGUAGUAAGUGGUAGUUCCGUAUGUUCUCUAUACAACUACUCAACUCUUUCACUUACACCCAAGUCCAUCAUACUUCAAAAGC